rnacentral:rRNA from 1 species
AACGAACGCUGGCGGCAUGCCUAAUACAUGCAAGUCGAACGAGAUCUUCGGAUCUAGUGGCGCACGGGUGCGUAACGCGUGGGAAUCUGCCCUUGGGUUCGGAAUAACUUCUGGAAACGGAAGCUAAUACCGGAUGAUGACGUAAGUCCAAAGAUUUAUCGCCCAAGGAUGAGCCCGCGUAGGAUUAGGUAGUUGGUGAGGUAAAGGCUCACCAAGCCGACGAUCCUUAGCUGGUCUGAGAGGAUGAUCAGCCACACUGGGACUGAGACACGGCCCAGACUCCUACGGGAGGCAGCAGUAGGGAAUAUUGGACAAGGGGCGAAAGCCUGAUCCAGCAAUGCCGCGUGAGUGAUGAAGGCCUUAGGGUUGUAAAGCUCUUUUACCCGGGAUGAUAAUGACAGUACCGGGAGAAUAAGCUCCGGCUAACUCCGUG